rnacentral:lncRNA from 1 species
CGCCUUGGCCUCCCAAAGUGCUGGGAUUACAGGCAUGAGCCACCGUGCCCGGCCUACAGUUUUCAUGAGUGGCUGUGAAUCCAGAGAUUGGUCUAAUUCUUCUGAAUCAGGGCACUCUGCUUAAGGCACCACCAAAUAGAUGUCUCACCGUGAUCCUCUGGAAUAAUUGCAUUAUUUGUUACAUUCUUUGCAACUAAAUGAAUUAUGUGGGUAGAACACCACUUGAAUCACAAAGUAUCAGCCCGUGUGCUAGAAGCCAAUUUGAUUUGACAAAGAUGCUGCAGAAGUCACAGGUGCACCUUGAUGAAAUAUGUGGCCGAACCACAUCUAUGCCCUAUUGUCUUCCAGUGGAGCCCAUACUCACCCU